CUGGUCUGAACAGUUUUCCCACCCUCGCGCCGCCGGCCCUUCUGCUUCCUGGGGCUCCUCCUUUGAAGUGAGUUCGCUUGGCGGAAUCCACGAACCCACUGGGAAGUUGUUCCCGGCACGUAGUGGUCGGAAAAGAUAAAAUGAAAUCCCAAGAAGCUGUUUAGGUUAAGCCAAAAUCCAUAUAUAAAGAGCUGAAAAUGCCUUUCGCCGGGCGUGGUGGCGCACGGCUGUAAUCCCAGCGUCUCGGGAGGCUGAGGCAGGAGGAUUGCAAGUUCAAAACCAGCCUCAGAAAUGGCGAAGCGCUAAACAACUCAAUGAGCCCCUGUCUAAAUAAAAUACGAAAUAGGGCUGGGGAUGUGGCUCAGUGGUUGAAUGUCCCUGAGUUCAAUCCCCGGUACCACCCGCUCCUGCAAAACGCCUUUCAUCUGAUAAAGAUUAGUUAGAACUCCGUCCCACGUCCACUCAAGGGUUGGCGGCUCGUCCUGAAACGGUUGCCCGGGUACAGCCUGGCAGACGGUCCGGACUCCUGAGUUCGAGUCUUGCCUGUGCGUUCGGUGCCGCAGAUCGUGCAAGCCUGUAAUCUCCAGAACCAAGUUUAUACUCGCCACCCCACAACAAAAUUGGAAGCGCUAAGUUUGCCCAACGAAGUCACAGACGUGGAAGGGUCGCAAGGCAAAUGCAAACUAGAAGACAAAGCCCAGGAAUUCAGAGGAACAAUCUUCUAGACAACAAGGAACACCAAGGCCAUCUUCUUCCACUUUAAUCACAGUAUUGGUGGCCAAAAUGGUGGCAGCCAGCCAAUGUUAUCCAGAUUAUCGAGUAUUUACCACAUCAUCAAUUUUCAGAAUGCUCCGGACAGUUUCAGUUGCUAGGGUCAGAGCACUGACUGAAACCAACAGGGGCUGUACAACCAUUUCUUCCAAAAUGUUGGAAAUACCACCCUUUCGGACAUUAAUGCCUGUAGUUUUUUCUCCUUGGGCAUGCCGAUUUCUUAGUUCUGUUACUGUAGAAAUGGGUUUAUUUCUUUAAGGCCUUAAAGUGUGAUGGUCAAUUCUGUUAAGGUUCCCUGACAUUUUAUAGUUCGUACUCAUAUAUCCUACACCAUAUUGGGUAAAUAGAUAAUAUGGGACAUUGACAAUAAGCCAGGCAGUAUGGGAGAUCCUUCAGCAUGUGGGCCUUAUGAUUCUAUGACCUAGAUACUAUCUCAAAUUUACAGACUGGCAAAAGUUAAAAAUGAUUUGUCAAUGGGCACUCUCCCAUAUUGCUGAUGGGGAUAUCACCGAUGCUCUCUUUGAAGAUAAUCUGGUAGUCUCGAUGGAAAUUUACACCGGGCACUGUGGCACGUGCUUAUAAUACCAGCAACUUCAGAGGCUGAGGCAGGAGGGUUACAAGUUGGAGGCCAGCCUGGGCAACUUGGUGAAAUCCUGACUCAAAAUUAAUAAGUAAAAACGGUUGGGGAUGUAACUCAGUAGUAGAGCCCCCCACCCCCACCCCAGAUUCAAUCCCCAGUACCGAUUUUGUUUUAAAAAAAAUAUGAAUUCAUUCCCUUCUAAUUGGCAAUUUCUUUCUGCAAAUAUACCUAUUGAAAUACACAAAUUUGGAAAAAUACAUCAGUGGCUGUUCACCAGAGUUUUAUUGGAGAAAAAAAAAAAAAAAGAAAAGAAAAGAACUGGG